GACAGAGGGGGCAAGCGUUGCUCGGAAUCACUGGGCGUAAAGGGCGCGUAGGCGGGAUGGCAAGUCAGUCGUGAAAUCUCUCGGCUCAACCGAGAAACGUCGGCUGAUACUGCCGUUCUUGAGGGAUGCAGAGGAGACUGGAAUUCCCGGUGUAGCGGUGAAAUGUGUAGAGAUCGGGAGGAACACCGGUGGCGAAGGCGAGUCUCUGGGCAUCUCCUGACGCUGAGGCGCGAAAGCGUGGGGAGCAAACGGG
rnacentral:rRNA from 1 species